AAGGACUGUGCUCCCAAUCCGCUUACGCUCAAGGAAGAACUGAGACCAGGCCCACAGAGUAUGGCUGUGCAAGUUGUUCACUCUACAAGGGCACCUGGCCGGGGUCUUACCUUGAAUGGGGGAGAAGAGCUUGAAGAUGAGGGGACAGGCCAAGACAACUACCUGGCCCCGAGGGGUGGCUGGCCAGCAGAUGAGGAAAUGGAGGCACAGACUGAUUAGAAAACCAGCUCAAGGUCAUGUUGCUGCUCUCUCAUUCCUGUUGAGGGCUCUCUGGUGGAGCCUCUGUCUCACAGGUCACCUGCAGGCCAACACUCCCAGAAGCAGCUAGCACCAUGGUUGACCUCGUCCAGGUCCAGGGAAGGCCUCCCUCUCCAGGACUCCUUUAGAUUUCCCCAGCAUCCAGACCUCACCUGCCUAAGUGCUGUUGCCCUGGAAGCCACACAGUGAGCACGAGCUCCAUCUUGCCCCUUUACCAGCCAAUGGGGGUAAAGACAUUAGCUGCUCGCUGGACAGUCCCGUCAGACACAGACAUGAAACUCCUGCGAGAAGACCAAGCCCUGGAUAAUAUCACCACUCAUCCUGUGGCACUUCAUUACAUUCCGGCUGGGGAUAUUUGAAUAUUAGAUAUUAAGCAAUUCCUGUCAAUUUUGUUAGGUGUGUAAUGACAGUAUCAUAGUUAUAUAGAAGAGUGUCCUUUGGUUUUAGAGAUGC
rnacentral:antisense_RNA from 1 species